rnacentral:rRNA from 1 species
UACGUAGGCAGCAAGCGUUGUUCGGAAUUACUGGGCGUAAAGAGUGUGUAGGCGGUGCUCCAAGUCUGGUGUGAAAUCUCCCGGCUUAACUGGGGAGGGUGCAUUAGAAACUGGAAUGCUAGAGGAUGGGAGAGGUAAGCGGAAUUCCUGGUGUAGCGGUGAAAUGCGUAGAUAUCAGGAGGAACACCUGUGGUGUAGACAGCUUACUGGACCAUUUCUGACGCUGAGACACGAAAGCGUGGGUAGCAAACAGG